UACGAGGGGAGCAAGCGUUGUUCGGAAUUACUGGGCGUAAAGGGCUCGUAGGCGGCCAACUAAGUCAGACGUGAAAUCCCUCGGCUUAACCGGGGAACUGCGUCUGAUACUGGAUGGCUGGAGUUUGGGAGAGGGAUGCGGAAUUCCAGGUGUAGCGGUGAAAUGCGUAGAUAUCUGGAGGAACACCGGUGGCGAAGGCGGCAUCCUGGACCAAUACUGACGCUGAGGAGCGAAAGCCAGGGGAGCAAACGGG
rnacentral:rRNA from 1 species